GCCUGCUUAGCUCAAUUGGUAGAGCAUCGGUUUUGUAAACCGAGGGUUGUCGGUUCAACUCCGAUAGUAGGCU
rnacentral:tRNA from 1 species